GUCUUCGUGGCUCAGUCGGUAGAGCGUUGGUCUCAUAUUAUUCAAUAUGACUCUGUGAUCAGACAGAGACAUCCAAAGGUCGAGAGUUCGAGCCUCUCCGAGGACA
rfam:Colletotrichum gloeosporioides Cg-14 contig02220, whole genome shotgun sequence.